UGCAAGUCGAGCGGACAGAUGGGAGCUUGCUCCCUGAUGUUAGCGGCGGACGGGUGAGUAACACGUGGGUAACCUGCCUGUAAGACUGGGAUAACUCCGGGAAACCGGGGCUAAUACCGGAUGGUUGUUUGAACCGCAUGGUUCAGACAUAAAAGGUGGCUUCGGCUACCACUUACAGAUGGACCCGCGGCGCAUUAGCUAGUUGGUGAGGUAACGGCUCACCAAGGCAACGAUGCGUAGCCGACCUGAGAGGGUGAUCGGCCACACUGGGACUGAGACACGGCCCAGACUCCUACGGGAGGCAGCAGUAGGGAAUCUUCCGCAAUGGACGAAAGUCUGACGGAGCAACGCCGCGUGAGUGAUGAAGGUUUUCGGAUCGUAAAGCUCUGUUGUUAGGGAAGAACAAGUGCCGUUCAAAUAGGGCGGCACCUUGACGGUACCUAACCAGAAAGCCACGGCUAACUACGUGCCAGCAGCCGCGGUAAUACGUAGGUGGCAAGCGUUGUCCGGAAUUAUUGGGCGUAAAGGGCUCGCAGGCGGUUUCUUAAGUCUGAUGUGAAAGCCCCCGGCUCAACCGGGGAGGGUCAUUGGAAACUGGGGAACUUGAGUGCAGAAGAGGAGAGUGGAAUUCCACGUGUAGCGGUGAAAUGCGUAGAGAUGUGGAGGAACACCAGUGGCGAAGGCGACUCUCUGGUCUGUAACUGACGCUGAGGAGCGAAAGCGUGGGGAGCGAACAGGAUUAGAUACCCUGGUAGUCCACGCCGUAAACGAUGAGUGCUAAGUGUUA
rnacentral:rRNA from 2 species